GCCGAAGUGGUGGAACUUGGUAGACACGCCAUCUUGAGGGGGUGGUGGGGCAACCCGUGCCGGUUCGAGUCCGGCCUUCGGCACCA
rnacentral:tRNA from 1 species